GGCCAUACCACCCUGAACGCACCCGAUCUCGUCUGAUCUCGGAAGCUAAGCAGGGUCGGGCCUGGUUAGUACUUGGAUGGGAGUUUAUCCUAUGAGAUUAAGAGUC
rnacentral:rRNA from 1 species